rnacentral:rRNA from 1 species
AACGAACGCUGGCGGCAGGCUUAACACAUGCAAGUCGAGCGCCCCGCAAGGGGAGCGGCAGACGGGUGAGUAACGCGUGGGAAUCUACCCAUCUCUACGGAAUAACGCAUGGAAACGUGUGCUAAUACCGUAUACGUCCUUCGGGAGAAAGAUUUAUCGGAGAUGGAUGAGCCCGCGUUGGAUUAGCUAGUUGGUGGGGUAAAGGCCUACCAAGGCGACGAUCCAUAGCUGGUCUGAGAGGAUGAUCAGCCACACUGGGACUGGGACACGGCCCAGACUCCUACGGGAGGCAGCAGUGGGGAAUAUUGGACAAUGGGCGCAAGCCUGAUCCAGCCAUGCCGCGUGAGUGAUGAAGGCCCUAGGGUUGUAAAGCUCUUUCACCGGUGAAGAUAAUGACGGUAACCGGAGAAGAAGCCCCGGCUAACUUCGUGCCAGCCGCCGCUGUAAAAC